UGGCGGACGGGUGAGUAACGCGUGGGCAACCUGCCCCAUACAGGGGGAUAACAGCCGGAAACGGCUGCUAAAACCGCAUAAGCGCACAAGGGCCGCAUGGCCUGGUGUGAAAAACUCCGGUGGUAUGGGAUGGGCCCGCGUCUGAUUAGCUAGUUGGCGGGGGAGAGGCCCACCAAGGCGACGAUCAGUAGCCGACCUGAGAGGGUGGCCGGCCACAUUGGGACUGAGACACGGCCCAAACUCCUACGGGAGGCAGCAG
rnacentral:rRNA from 1 species